rnacentral:rRNA from 1 species
UUAAGCGACUAAGCGUACACGGUGGAUGCCCUGGCAGUCAGAGGCGAUGAAGGACGUGCUAAUCUGCGAUAAGCGUCGGUGAGGUGAUAUGAACCGUUAUAACCGGCGAUUUCCGAAUGGGGAAACCCAGUGUGUUUCGACACACUAUCAUUAACUGAAUCCAUAGGUUAAUGAGGCGAACCGGGGGAACUGAAACAUCUAAGUACCCCGAGGAAAAGAAAUCAACCGAGAUUCCCCCAGUAGCGGCGAGCGAACGGGGAGGAGCCCAGAGCCUGAAUCAGUGUGUGUGUUAGUGGAAGCGUCUGGAAAGGCGCGCGAUACAGGGUGACAGCCCCGUACACAAAAAUGCACAUAUUGUGAGCUCGAUGAGUAGGGCGGGACACGUGGUAUCCUGUCUGAAUAUGGGGGGACCAUCCUCCAAGGCUAAAUACUCCUGACUGACCGAUAGUGAACCAGUACCGUGAGGGAAAGGCGAAAAGAACCCCGGCGAGGGGAGUGAAAAAGAACCUGAAACCGUGUACGUACAAGCAGUGGGAGCCUCUUAAUGGGGUGACUGCGUACCUUUUGUAUAAUGGGUCAGCGACUUAUAUUCUGUAGCAAGGUUAACCGAAUAGGGGAGCCGAAGGGAAACCGAGUCUUAACUGGGCGUUAAGUUGCAGGGUAUAGACCCGAAACCCGGUGAUCUAGCCAUGGGCAGGUUGAAGGUUGGGUAACACUAACUGGAGGACCGAACCGACUAAUGUUGAAAAAUUAGCGGAUGACUUGUGGCUGGGGGUGAAAGGCCAAUCAAACCGGGAGAUAGCUGGUUCUCCCCGAAAGCUAUUUAGGUAGCGCCUCGUGAAUUCAUCUCCGGGGGUAGAGCACUGUUUCGGCAAGGGGGUCAUCCCGACUUACCAACCCGAUGCAAACUGCGAAUACCGGAGAAUGUUAUCACGGGAGACACACGGCGGGUGCUAACGUCCGUCGUGAAGAGGGAAACAACCCAGACCGCCAGCUAAGGUCCCAAAGUCAUGGUUAAGUGGGAAACGAUGUGGGAAGGCCCAGACAGCCAGGAUGUUGGCUUAGAAGCAGCCAUCAUUUAAAGAAAGCGUAAUAGCUCACUGGUCGAGUCGGCCUGCGCGGAAGAUGUAACGGGGCUAAACCAUGCACCGAAGCUGCGGCAGCGACACUAUGUGUUGUUGGGUAGGGGAGCGUUCUGUAAGCCUGUGAAGGUGUACUGUGAGGUAUGCUGGAGGUAUCAGAAGUGCGAAUGCUGACAUAAGUAACGAUAAAGCGGGUGAAAAGCCCGCUCGCCGGAAGACCAAGGGUUCCUGUCCAACGUUAAUCGGGGCAGGGUGAGUCGACCCCUAAGGCGAGGCCGAAAGGCGUAGUCGAUGGGAAACAGGUUAAUAUUCCUGUACUUGGUGUUACUGCGAAGGGGGGACGGAGAAGGCUAUGUUGGCCGGGCGACGGUUGUCCCGGUUUAAGCGUGUAGGCUGGUUUUCCAGGCAAAUCCGGAAAAUCAAGGCUGAGGCGUGAUGACGAGGCACUACGGUGCUGAAGCGACAAAUGCCCUGCUUCCAGGAAAAGCCUCUAAGCAUCAGGUAACAUCAAAUCGUACCCCAAACCGACACAGGUGGUCAGGUAGAGAAUACCAAGGCGCUUGAGAGAACUCGGGUGAAGGAACUAGGCAAAAUGGUGCCGUAACUUCGGGAGAAGGCACGCUGAUAUGUAGGUGAAGCGACUUGCUCGUGGAGCUGAAAUCAGUCGAAGAUACCAGCUGGCUGCAACUGUUUAUUAAAAACACAGCACUGUGCAAACACGAAAGUGGACGUAUACGGUGUGACGCCUGCCCGGUGCCGGAAGGUUAAUUGAUGGGGUUAGCGGUAACGCGAAGCUCUUGAUCGAAGCCCCGGUAAACGGCGGCCGUAACUAUAACGGUCCUAAGGUAGCGAAAUUCCUUGUCGGGUAAGUUCCGACCUGCACGAAUGGCGUAAUGAUGGCCCAGGCUGUCUCCACCCGAGACUCAGUGAAAUUGAACUCGCUGUGAAGAUGCAGUGUACCCGCGGCAAGACGGAAAGACCCCGUGAACCUUUACUAUAGCUUGACACUGAACAUUGAGCCUUGAUGUGUAGGAUAGGUGGGAGGCUUUGAAGUGUGGACGCCAGUCUGCAUGGAGCCGACCUUGAAAUACCACCCUUUAAUGUUUGAUGUUCUAACGUGGGCCCCCUUACCGGGGUUGCGGACAGUGUCUGGUGGGUAGUUUGACUGGGGCGGUCUCCUCCUAAAGAGUAACGGAGGAGCACGAAGGUUGGCUAAUCCUGGUCGGACAUCAGGAGGUUAGUGCAAUGGCAUAAGCCAGCUUGACUGCGAGCGUGACGGCGCGAGCAGGUGCGAAAGCAGGUCAUAGUGAUCCGGUGGUUCUGAAUGGAAGGGCCAUCGCUCAACGGAUAAAAGGUACUCCGGGGAUAACAGGCUGAUACCGCCCAAGAGUUCAUAUCGACGGCGGUGUUUGGCACCUCGAUGUCGGCUCAUCACAUCCGGGCUGAAGUAGGUCCCAAGGGUAUGGCUGUUCGCCAUUUAAAGUGGUACGCGAGCUGGGUUUAGAACGUCGUGAGACAGUUCGGUCCCUAUCUGCCGUGGGCGCUGGAGAACUGAGGGGGGCUGCUCCUAGUACGAGAGGACCGGAGUGGACGCAUCACUGGUGUUCGGGUUGUCAUGCCAAUGGCACUGCCCGGUAGCUAAAUGCGGAAGAGAUAAGUGCUGAAAGCAUCUAAGCACGAAACUUGCCCCGAGAUGAGUUCUCCCUGACUCCUUGAGAGUCCUGAAGGAACGUUGAAGACGACGACGUUGAUAGGCCGGGUGUGUAAGCGCAGCGAUGCGUUGAGCUAACCGGUACUAAUGAACCGUGAGGCUUAACCU